GUGUGUUGCAAUGAUGAUGUUUGUUAAUACCCAACUCAUUAUGAAACCUUUCUUUGUGAUUGGUCGAAGAAAAGAUUUUCCUUUUAACACAUACCUGAGCAAAUUAUCC